rnacentral:lncRNA from 1 species
CUGAACCCUUAAUGAAGUACUGUCCUUGCCUGUAAUAUCUGCUAGAUAUUACAGACUGAACCUGCAGGUAACUAAUGGAAAUGACGAUUGCCACGGGAAGACUAUUGUAUGGCAUAAUUGGGUUACUUCUCUUGCCUCUGCCUGGCAUCAGGGAGCACAGACAGCUGAUGGAUUGCCACGGGUGCUGGAUGCUAAAGCAGAGUGCAGUUCCUGUGUAGAAACUGAGGACAAAAAAGUAAGUGGCUUGUUUUAAUGUAAUUCAUGUUAGGCAUCUCUAGCAAGAUUUUUUUUUAAUUAAAUCAUAUGAAAUUGCCUUUUUUGUGGGUGUAUAUAUGUUAAGUUUCCUAACGAUAACUGUUCUAAUGUAGUUGUAUUGUAACUUGAGGAGGGGUAUUCUGCCUUGCUUUACUUGAACGGUCCUUUAUUGGAAAUUCCCUUCUGAAGAAGCAGUUAAGUAAAUUAUAACCAUGCAUUUGUUAAACUACUAACAGUUUAAAAACAACUGCAUUUCCUAUUCUU